rnacentral:rRNA from 1 species
UGGGGAAUAUUGCACAAUGGGCGAAAGCCUGAUGCAGCGACGCCGCGUGAGGGAUGACGGCCUUCGGGUUGUAAACCUCUUUCAGUAGGGACGAAGCGCAAGUGACGGUACCUGCAGAAGAAGCACCGGCUAACCACGUGCCAGCAGCCGCGGUAAUACGUAGGGUGCGAGCGUUGUCCGGAAUUACUGGGCGUAAAGAGCUCGUAGGCGGUUUGUCACGUCGUCUGUGAAAUCCUAGGGCUUAACCCUGGACGUGCAGGCGAUACGGGCUGACUUGAGUACUACAGGGGAGACUGGAAUUUCUGGUGUAGCGGUGGAAUGCACAGAUAUCAGGAAGAACACCGAUGGCGAAGGCAGGUCUCUGGGUAGUAACUGACGCUGAGGAGCGAAAGCAUGGGUAGCGAACAGGAUUAGAUACCCUGGUAGU